GGCUCCAGUUGUCCAGUGAAGGAAGCACCAGGAUCCUGUGUCCUCUCUUUGCCCCAGUCUUCAAUGUCCCAGAUACUCCCAGGAGUCUACUCAUCUUGGUGGCCCUAAUUUGGUAUCCCUCGUGUCCUGCUGGCUGGCAGUAACAGCAGCAGCGGCGGCGCAGGGAGCAGCAGCACAGGGAACAGCAGCAGCACCGGGAGCAGCAGUGGCACAUGGAGCAGCAGUGGCACAGAGAGCAGCAGCGGCACCGGGAGCAGCAUCAGCAGCAGAGGGAGCAGCAGUGGCACAUGGAGCAGCAGCAGCACAGGGAGCUGCAGUGGCAUAGGGAGCCGCAGCGUAGCAGGGAGCAGCAGCAGCAGCACAGGGAGCAGCAGCACAGGGAACAGCAGCAUAGCAGGGAGCAGCAGCGGCGCAGCGAGCAGCAGCACAGGGAGCAGGGAGCAGCAGCAGCAGCAGCAGUACAGGGAGCAGCAGCAGCGGCACAGGGAGCAGCAGCCUCCCCAGGCCCUCGUGCUCUGGCACUUUUAUACCCUCUCAAGAGUCCGCAAGAGCCGGGUGUUGUGGCGAGCACCUUUAAUCCUAGCACUCAAGAGGCAGAAGCAAGCGGAUUUCUGAGUUCAAGGCCAGCCUGGUCUACAAAUCACAGUCAGCUGCUAUGGACAACAUCUGGGAUUAAAACAAAAGCAUGGGGCUGGAGAGAUGGCUCAGUGGUUAAGAGCAUCUUCCAAAAGUCCUGAAUUCAAAUCCCAGCAACCACAUGGUGGCUCACAACCAUCCCUAAUAAGAUCUGACACCUUCUUAUAUUUAUAAAAUAAAGAAAUCUUUAAAAACCACAAAAGCAUAUUUACAUAACAUAAAUAUUGUUGGUUUGUCUGUUUGAUUAAGAUAUAUUUAUUUAUGUAUGAGUGCUCUGUCUGUAUGUACACCUGCACACCAGAAGAGGGCAUCAGUUCUCAGUAUAGAUGGUUGUGAGCCACCAUGUGGUUGUUGGGAUUUGAACUCAGGAAGAACAGACAGUGUUCUUAAUGGCUGAGCCAUCCCUUCAGCCCCCCUGCCCCCAUAACUGUGUCUUUAUAGAAACCGAAAUUCUCACUCUAGCUGGAGAAAUGACUCAGCCGUUAAUAUACUGUCUGUCCAGAAGACCCCAAUUUAGUUUUCUGCACCCAUGUCAGGUGUAACUCCAGCUCCAGGGGAUCUUACACCAUCUUCUGGUAUCUACACACAUGUGGGAUGCACACACACACACACACACACACACACACACACACACACACACACACACACAAAUGAAUGUAAUAAAAAUAGAUUUUUUAAAAAUGUGGAACUGAUUAAUCUGUUUUCCUCAUUUUGAGACAGGAUCUCAUUAUGUAGAGUUGGCUGGCCUAGAACUCGCUGUUUAGAGCAGGCUGGCCUUGAGAUCUGCCUGCCUCUGUUUUGGAGUGCUGGGAUUAAAAGUGUGUACCACUUUGCUUUGUUGUUUUCUUGCGGGUGUAUCUUUUUGUGCUUUGAAUCUUAAAAAAAAAA
rnacentral:lncRNA from 1 species